GACGAACGCUGGCGGCGUGCUUAACACAUGCAAGUCGAACGGCAAGGCCCUUUUGGGGGUAUUCGAGUGGCGAACGGGUGAGUACCACGUGAGUAACCUGCCCUUUAUACCGGGAUAUCUUCAGGAAACUGGGGAUACUACCGGUUAGGACUCCUUGCUGCAUGGGGGGGGUUGGAAAGCUUCGGCGGCGUUGGAUGGACUCGCGGCGUAUCGGCUUAUUGGUGGGGUAGUGGGUUACCAGGGCUAUAACGUGUAGCCGGCCAGAGAGAGCGAGCGGCCGCAUUGAGACUGAGAGGCGGCCGAGACGCCUACGAGAGGCAGCAGGGGGGAAGAUUGCACAAGGGGCAGAGGGUUGAUGCAGCAGCGCCUCGGGCGGUAUAACGGCCUUCGUGGUGUAGACCGCUUUCAGCAGGGGCGAAGCUUGUGGUGACGGUACCUGCAGAAGAAGCACCGGCUAACUACGUG
rnacentral:rRNA from 1 species